rnacentral:tRNA from 1 species
ACUUAAAUAGUUUAUAAAAAUAUUGAUUUGUGGUGUCAAAGAUGUAAGAAUUUACUUUAGGUC